AAGGACAACUUUACAAUCAAUAGUUUCUCGUUGGUGACUUAUCUCACCCUUAAGUAAUGUGGAAGUCAUACUUCUAUAUCUGUAAUUUGCUUGAACUAGCCUCUUUUGAUAGAGGCAUGUCUCCAAGCCUUGAAUCAAGCGAGGCAUGCCUCUUUUGGUAGAGGCAUGUCUCCAAAUCUUGAAUCAAGUGAAUCCAUAGUAUGCAUAUUAACCUCUUAAUUUUCGAACCAAAAUUUUAGGACUUUUUCUAUAUUAAUUCUGAAAUUAAUGCAGAGAUAUUUAUGAGCUAUAUUGGCAAACUCAAUGAGUGAGAAAUCCAAAGCAUUUUAUAGAGUUCAAUUUGAAGUUUUUUAAGGAAGUUACCUUCAUUUUUCUUUAUAAAGGUCAUGGUGGUUGUUAUACUUGAGAAUUAAGAAAAUUAUUAUCACAUUUAAGACUUGAUAGGUCACUUUUUUAGUUAUUCUGUAAGUAUUUAAUAUUUUUUACAUUUUUAUUUCUGAUCUUGAAAAUGGUGAAGAAUCAAUGCGUUGAGAAUCACUAGGCUUAGAGAGUUGUUCCAAGGUAUUUUUUUCUCAUACAAUUUUGUAUCUUGUUGAUGGAUUCCUUAUGGUGGUGAGUUCCUAGGCUUUCAUUUUUAGUUAGGUUCCUAUGGUGGUGAUAUCUAUAUCUCUGAGAUGUUUUACUUGGUUGGUGAGUUUGUUUAUCUUAUUUUUAAUCAUUUUAGUUCUUUUUUUUUUCGUCAUCAUCUUUUCUUGUAAGUUUGUCUCUUUGGUGAUAUUCAAGAUUGUAUUACUCAAUUGCAUAGUGGGCCAUCUCUUUUAUUUUAUUUUGUUUUCUCCAUGAUCUGGAUUACUUGAUAGAAAGGAAAAAGAUUGCAAGAAUUUAUUUAUCCUUUUGCAAAUGGAGACAUAUUUUUCUUAUAUUCUUUUGCAAAUGAAGUUAAAGUCACUCAUUCAUCUUUCUGACUUGGGUGUGACCAAGAAAAAAUAUUCCUCUCAGGUUCAAAUGGUCUCAUAAAACAAAGACUAAGAAGUAUGUGCUCAUAUUCGAGUACUAGAGAACAUAACCAGUAAGAUGUUGAAGUCCAAAUUUGAAAGGAAAAUUCUUGAUUUGAACUAUGUCAUGUUGAAGUCCAUUAUCACCUGUAUUCAAAUUUGUCUCCUUUGCCUAUGUUUACUUGUAGCGACCGUACAUGCAAGUGAAGCUUUAUUGUCGAGGCUUUUUCUUUUUUAUUGAAGUUUGGGCUUAGAGUGGAAGGAGAGUGUUUUGAAUAGGUCCAUCACCUAUAAACUAUUGAGAUAAAUCACUUAUUUUGAUAUUAGAAAGAAGCCCUUCUAUAAUAUUUCUGUUAAGAGAUUUGUUAUCUAUUACAGAUCACAUUUCUUCAGUAAUUCUGAAAUUAAGAAACUGUUUAAAGGGUCAAUUUAUUUAGUGACUGAAGUCAACCUUCUAGUUGCAUAUUGAGUAUCUUGUCCUUGUUUGUUACUGAUGCUUAUGUGCCAUGGAUUUUUCUGUGGUACCACUCACUAUAUGUUAGAGGUUGGCUUGAGGAUGACCUAGCUAUGCAUUGGCAUGAGUUAGUUUAGCAUUAAAAAAAAUUUAUAUAUGGAUUGUGUUGCAUUUUAGAGCAAGUCCAUCAUAGUAAAUUUACAUAAAAGAUCAUAUCCUUUUCUUUGUUCUUAUCUACACCUGUCAAUACUUCUUUAUUGUGUGGGCUGACAUACUUUGGUGCCUAGGCCAAUAGUUGGUGCUUCACUCUCUUGUUUGAGGGCUUUUAUAUUAUUCGUCCUCCCAUGUUCAAUGGGACGGACUACACUUAUUGGAAAACUCUCAUCUGUUUUCUAUGGAUUUGAAUUUAUAGAAUAUUAUCGAAAGCAGUUUUCAAAAGUCUUAUACUCCAAUGAACGAAUGGAAUGAUUUGGAGAAGAAAACUUUUUCUUUAAAUACUCGAGCUAUGAAUGCUCUAUUUUGCGCCUUAGAUAAAAAUGAAUUCAAUCGGGUUUCUACUUGUGAAACGACUUUUGACAUUUAACACACACUUAAAAUCACACAUGAAGGCACUAGUAGAGUUAAAGACUCUAAAAGAAAUAUUUUGAUGCAUGAUUUUGAGUUGUUUCGUAUGAAGCCAAGUGAAACUAUUGGUGACAUGUACACCCGUUUUACGGAUGUCGUCAAUAGUUUAAAAGCUCUUGGCAAAUGUUUUUCGAAUUUUGAACUUGUUAAUAAAGUUUUAUGAUCGUUUUCUAAAAAUUGGGAUUCGAAAAUAACGACUAUUCAAGAAUCUAAGAACUUGAACCAUUUUCCACUCGAAGAACUUAUUGGGUCUUUAAUGACCUAUGAAAUGAAUUGUAUGACACAUAUUGAACAUGAUGAACUUGAGAAAACCUUCCAAAGAACAGAAAAAUUUUGACACUUAGAACAAAUGAAGACCAUUUGAGCGAAAGCUCAAGUGAUGAUGACUUUGAACUCUUGACUAUAAAGCUUAAAAAAUUCUUAAAACAAGAAUCUAAGAACAAAAAUAAAAGGAAUGCGCAACUACUUGCUAUGAACGCAAGAAGAAUGAAGCACUUUGGGACAAAACGAGUACCUCCAAAGUCGAGGAGCAAAUCGAUGAAGACAAAGUGGCGAACUUCGCUUUGAUGACUCUCGACGAUGAGGUAACCAAAAUCCCUUUACUUUAUUUUGAAAUUACUAGAUGCAUUUCAUAUGUUGUUUUUAAAUUAGUAUAUAAAAUACAAAUAAAUAAAUAAAUAAAUAAAAGGGGAUCAUGCUUUUCUUUUGAAAAUGAUAAUGACAAUUGCAUGUUUUAUGAAAAUAUAACAAAAUGUUAGAUUUAAAUCUAAUGAUUAAUCCUAUAUAUGUUUUUAAGAAAAAAUAACGUGUGUCCUGAUGAUUUCCAUAUUGCUUUUCGAUUUUGAUUAAAAACGAUUUAUGUUUAAUGAAGUUAUGCUUGAUAAAAUAAUAUAAUGAUGAUUUGAAGUCACGCUUAAUGAGUUUAUAUUUCGAAAUUAUGCAUGAUGAUUUUUGUGAUUUAUGGCUUAUUGAUCUUUGUCAUAAUGAAAGUUACUUUUUCGGUUUUAAACGAUGAUGCUUGUUUUUGUUUGAUAUAAAUAACAAAGACAUGCUUGUAUGAAAUAAAUCACAUAAAUUGAAACAAUUAUAAAGAGGAAAGCAUUUUUCUUGAAAUUUUUUUUCUCUAUCUUAUCGAUUUUUCACUAAGAAAUUAAUGAAGUUAUUUAUGUCAUUUUGAAUCUCUUAAAAGUAAUUUUGAUAAUUUGACGAUUUGAAUUUGAAUGAGUUUUAUCUAAAUCAUGAUCUUGAUUUCUUGGAAUUACUUGAGAUUUUUUUUAAUCAAGAUCUCUUCUUUUUACUCUUACGAUUUUUCUUGGUAUUUUAUUUUAAGAGGAGAUUUACUAUAUGAAUUAUGAGAAUUAUGAUACAUGAAUCGAGGUCCUUUAUGUGUUCUCCCAUGACUCUAUUUGCUAUAAGAAAAUUUUUAUCUAUAUCAUGAUCGAUUUUGAAUUCUUGGAAUCAAAACUUAAUAUUUUCUUUAUAUGAAUCAAGACUUUUCAUUAUUCUCCUAUGAUUUUACUUGCUAUAUAUUUAAGAUGAGCUUUUCUAUAUAAAUCAUGAGAUUUCUUAUGCAUGAAUCGAGAUCAUUGAUUAUUUGUUCUUCUACAAUUCUUUUGUUGUUUACUAAAGAGAAUAUCUUUUUCGGAAUUCAUGACUUAAAAUUUCUAUUGAAGAUUUUUUACUAUUUGAUCUCCUAAGAUUUCCUUUUGAUUAUUUAAGAGGAGAUUUGUCAAAAUGAAUCAUGUCUUUUGGUAUUCACAUGAUCUCAUCUUUCAUGAUAUGAUUUUUUAUCCUUAAUGUGAUGAUAUGAAAUUAUGCAAUACUCAUGAUAUUAUGUUGAUUCAUACAAAUGAGAAGUUAAGAUUAUGCAUUGUAGGAUGUAAUGUAAUUUGAAAUUUUGAUACCAUCAUGAUUUGAAUUAUUUAUGAUUUGGAAUGAUGCAUACAAUGCUAUGAUUUGUUGCUCAUAUUCGAGUACUAAGAAUAUAACCAGCAAGAUGUUUAAGUCCAAAUUUGAAAGGAAAAUUCUUGAUUUGAACUAUGUCAUGUUGAAGUCCAUUAUCACCUGUUUUCAAAUUUGUCUCCUUUGCCUAUGUUUACCUUAAGCGACCAUACAUGCAAGUGAAGCUUUAUUGUCGAGGCUUUUUCAUUUUUAUUGAAGUCUAGGCUUAGAGUGGAAGGAGAGUGUUUUGAAGAGGUCCAUCAACUGUAAACUAUAGAGAUAAAUCACUUAUUUUGAUAUUAGAAAGAAGCCCUUCUAUAAUAUUUCUGUUGAGAGAUUUUUUAUCUAUUACAGAUCACUUUUCUUCAGUAAUUCUGAAAUUAAGCAACUGUUUAAAGGGUCAAUUUAUUUAGUGACUGAAGUCAACCUUCUAGUUGCAUAUUGAGUAUCUUGUCCUUGUUUGUUGCUGAUGCUUAUGUGCCAUGGAUUUUUCUGUGGUACCACUCACUAUAUGUUAGAG
rnacentral:lncRNA from 1 species